rnacentral:lncRNA from 1 species
CUCAGUGCUGGCCUCUGGGGACCCGUUCUGUCCCUGUAACCCUAUUCCUCUCCCUCUGCUUUAUUUAUACAUGAGCCCCAAGGGGGGGAGUGGAAAUAGGAAGAGGAAUGGUGGGACUGGAAACUGGGGGUCACUCCGAAGGAGCUGGGACAGGAAGGGCAAAGCCCUGGCAGGGUCUGCUGAGGGACCACAGACUGGGAGAGAUGGAUGCCUACCAGCCAGCUUGGAUGCUUUAAUUGGAAUGGAUUCAGAAGGUGGUAAAAUGCCUCUGUAAAGAAAGCCUGGAAACAUGAGAACAGAAAUCCCUACAGCUAAGGCAGAUCGUGGACCACACUCUGGGAAUUGCUGGGUUUGGGAAUGCGUUCAUCCAAAGAGAGCAGAAGACAACCCUGAAACACGGUCUGCUCCUUGCAGUGGCUUUGCUUCCUCUGUACAGAGGGAGAAGAGAAGGAGGGGUUUUCGUGCAGAAUGCUUCUGCUUUUCGGUUUGCUCGAGGGGAAAAAAUGCAUCGGAGCCACAGGAUGUUUCUGUGGGGGGGUUUAAUUCUGUCACAAAUCACUUCCUUCGGUAUGAAAGAAAGGGGUUCUUCAGUAACAAUCUGUGUCCCAAGAUCCCGGGUGAUCUGGAUUGGAUGAGAGACACAUGAGGUCCCCUCCAGCUUCAAUUGCUCCCUAUCUUCACGAGCAUUCAUCUUUGGGACGCUGCGUUACCUUUGCCUCCAUCUCACAAGUGGGUAAACUGAGGCAGGAAGAGCCACUCAGAGGCAGGAACAGAGACCAGCCCGCCACGUGACAGAUCCAACGCUGUAGCUGAACAAGUGCCAAACCCUAAAUAAGGAACUUUCCCUUGCCGACCCUUUAUUGACCUCUUGUUUGCUGGGAUAUUGGCUCAGGCAGGCACAGCCAAGAAAGAAAAAAAAUACUGUUUUUUGAUUCAGCAUUUAUUUCACUGCCUGGAAGGUGGAUCAGCACCAGAGAUACUUCUGGGCUGGUGCAGAACCCCUCUUGGAAGUUUUCCUGCACGUACUUAACGACAGCGUUGCUAAACGAGUCAAAGGUUUUGCUUUAAGGUUUCUCAAGGAGGAUGAGGCACUGGGGGAACCUCCUCUCCCUUCUCGCCAUGGCUCAUACAAGUGAUUUCUAGAGCUAAUCCAUGCAUGGCUGAAUGCUAAUUUGGGAUCUGCCUGCCUCCAGAACCAUCAUCAUGCUCAGCAAAUGCUACCCUACGUAUUUUUGGCCAAUG